UACGUAGGGUGCAAGCGUUAAUCGGAAUUACUGGGCGUAAAGCGUGCGCAGGCGGUUAUGCAAGACAGAUGUGAAAUCCCCGGGCUCAACCUGGGAACUGCAUUUGUGACUGCAUGGCUAGAGUACGGCAGAGGGGGAUGGAAUUCCGCGUGUAGCAGUGAAAUGCGUAGAUAUGCGGAGGAACACCGAUGGCGAAGGCAAUCCCCUGGGCCUGCUACUGACGCUCAUGCACGAAGCGUGGGGAGCAAACAGG
rnacentral:rRNA from 1 species